AGGAUCAUUAUUGACUUGAAAUUGUUACCUCCAGUGCUGGCUUCAUUGCAUGUGCACGUUGGUGGCUUUCAUCCUAACACCCUGUGAACCUUUGGCCUUAUGCUGGUUUCGGCUAGCAGAGGAUUUAUUUACACAAACUUGAAUGUAAUGAAAGACCCUGUUGUGCGCAAGCACUAGUUAAACAACUUUCAACAACGGAUCUCUUGGCUCUCGCAUCGAUGAAGAACGCAGCGAAAUGCGAUAAGUAAUGUGAAUUGCAGAAUUCAGUGAAUCAUCGAAUCUUUGAACGCACCUUGCACCCUUUGGUAUUCCGAAGGGUAUGCUCGUUUGAGUGUCAUUGUAAUCUCACACUUACUAAUCCUGUUGGAUUAGGGAGUGGUGGACUUGGGUGUUGCUGCGUCACUGUGGCUCAUCUUAAAUGGAGUAGUGCAACUCUUGGUUGGACAUAGAACAGCGUGAUAAGUAUCUUCGCUGGCUCCUCACUCGUAAGAGAGAGGGUGUGCGAUCGGGAGCUCUGUGCUUCAAACUACACUGUCUUUGGACAAUAUUUGACAACUUGACCUCAAAUCGAGUAGGACUACCCGCUGAACUUAAGCAUAUCAAUAAGCGGAGGAAAAGAAACUAACAAGGAUUCCCCUAGUAACGGCGAGUGAAGAGGGAAGAGCUCAAAUUUUGAAUCUGGCGUCUUUGGCGUCCGAGUUGUAAUCUAGAGAAGUGUUUUCCGUGGCGGACCGUGCACAAGUCUCCUGGAAUGGAGCGUCAUAGAGGGUGAGAAUCCCGUAUAUGGCACGGACUCCCGUUGCUCUGUGAUACACUCUCAACGAGUCGAGUUGUUUGGGAAUGCAGCUCUAAAUGGGUGGUAAAUGCCAUCUAAAGCUAAAUAUUGGCGAGAGACCGAUAGCGAACAAGUACCGUGAGGGAAAGAUGAAAAGCACUUUGGAAAGAGAGUGAAACAGUACGUGAAAUUGUUGAAAGGGAAACACUUGAAGUCAGUCGCGCCCUCUGGGAUUCAGCCUUGCUUCUGCUUGGUUUACUUCCCGUUGGGUGGGUCAACGUCAGUUUUGGUCAGAGGAGAAAUGCUUGGGGAAGGUAGCAGCAUCUGCUGUGUUAUAGCCCCUUGUUGUAUACUUUGACUGGGACUGAGGACCGCAGUGCGCCUUCACGGCCGGGGUU
rnacentral:rRNA from 1 species